AUUGAACGCUGGCGGCAUGCCUUACACAUGCAAGUCGAACGGCAGCACGGGAGCUUGCUCCUGGUGGCGAGUGGCGAACGGGUGAGUAAUACAUCGGAACGUACCCAGGAGGGGGGGAUAACGUAGCGAAAGUUACGCUAAUACCGCAUAUUCUGUGAGCAGGAAAGCGGGGGAUCGCAAGACCUCGCGCUCUUGGAGCGGCCGAUGUCGGAUUAGCUAGUUGGUGAGGUAAAAGCUCACCAAGGCGACGAUCCGUAGCAGGUCUGAGAGGAUGAUCUGCCACACUAGGACUGAGACACGGCCCAGACUCCUACGGGAGGCAGCAGUGGGGAAUUUUGGACAAUGGGGGCAACCCUGAUCCAGCCAUGCCGCGUGAGUGAAGAAGGCCUUCGGGUUGUAAAGCUCUUUCGGCGGGGAAGAAAUGGCAACGGCUAAUAUCCGUUGUUGAUGACGGUACCCGCAUAAGAAGCACCGGCUAACUACGUGCCAGCCGCCGCGGUAA
rnacentral:rRNA from 1 species